rnacentral:rRNA from 1 species
UACAGAGGUCUCAAGCGUUGUUCGGAUUCAUUGGGCGUAAAGGGUGCGUAGGCGGCCCUGUAAGUCAGUGCUGAAAUAUCCCAGCUUAACUGGGAGGGUGGCAUUGAUACUGCGGGGCUAGAGUACAGAUGAGGUAGGCGGAAUUGACGGUGUAGCGGUGAAAUGCUUAGAUAUCGUCAAGAACACCUAUAGCGAAGGCAGCUUACUAGGCUGUAACUGACGGCUGAGGCACGAAAGUGUGGGGAUCAAACAGG